rnacentral:rRNA from 1 species
GACCUCGAAUCAGGUAGGAAUACCCGCUGAACUUAAGCAUAUCAUA